AUUGAACGCUGGCGGCAGGCUUAACACAUGCAAGUCGAGCGGAGAUGAGGUGCUUGCACCUUAUCUUAGCGGCGGACGGGUGAGUAAUGCUUAGGAAUCUGCCUAUUAGUGGGGGACAACAUUCCGAAAGGAAUGCUAAUACCGCAUACGUCCUACGGGAGAAAGCAGGGGAUCUUCGGACCUUGCGCUAAUAGAUGAGCCUAAGUCGGAUUAGCUAGUUGGUGGGGGAAAGGCCUACCAAGGCGACGAUCUGUAGCGGGUCUGAGAGGAUGAUCCGCCACACUGGGACUGGGACGCGGCCCAGACUCCUACGGGAGGCAGCAGUGGGGAAUAUUGGACAAUGGGGGGAACCCUGAUCCAGCCACGCCGCGUGUGUGAAGAAGGCCUUAUGGUUGUAAAGCACUUUAAGCGAGGAGGAGGCUACUGAGACUAAUACUCUUGGAUAGUGGACGUUACUCGCAGAAUAAGCACCGGCUAACUCUGUGCCAGCAGCCGCCGUAACAC
rnacentral:rRNA from 1 species